AUGGUUCGAGAGGAGGUAGCAGGAUCCACUCAAACACUACAGUGGAAGUGUGUUGAAUCAAGAGUAGAUAGUAAGCGCCUUUAUUAUGGUCAUUUCAUUCUGUCCCCGCUUAGAAAAGGUCAAGCGGACACCGUCGGUAUUGCCUUGCGAAGAGCUUUACUUGGAGAAAUAGAAGGAACAUGUAUCACACGUGCAAAAUUUGGGAGCGUGCCGCACGAGUAUUCUACAAUAGCAGGUAUUGAAGAAUCCGUACAAGAAUUUUUACUAAAUUUGAAAGAAAUUGUAUUGAGAAGUAAUCUCUAUGGAGUUAGAGACGCAUCCAUUUGCGUCAAAGGUCCUAAAUUUUGUGCACCACGGGGUGGCAGCACAAGGCCUUUAGUACCAGUUGGUUGCUCCAACCGGUACUAA
rnacentral:rRNA from 1 species